rnacentral:rRNA from 1 species
UACGAAGGGGGCGAGCGUUGUUCGGAUUUACUGGGCGUAAAGGGCGCGCAGGCGGCGCAUUUUGUCAGGCGUGAAAGCCCCGGGCUUAACCUGGGAACUGCGUUUGAUACGGAUGGGCUAGAGUUCGGGAGAGGAGAGUGGAAUUCCCAGUGUAGAGGUGAAAUUCGUAGAUAUUGGGAAGAACACCGGUGGCGAAGGCGGCAUCCUGGACCAAUUCUGACGCUGAGGAGCGAAAGCCAGGGGAGCAAACGGG